AAAAUAAGCUGAUUCUAUAGGACAGAAAAAGGAAGAGGGCAGGGGUCAUAAGGGGAUGUAAGCAUAAGAUACCCAAGCCAGAAACAGCAACCCUUCCAGGUCCCCUUCCCCCACGUGGAAGCUUUCCUUUCACUUUCGCUUUAAUAAAUCUUGCCGCAGCACACUCUCUAAUCGAGCUGUAACACUCGCCACUGCCGUCCACGGCUUCAUUCCUUGAAGCCGUGAGACCACGAACCCUUCGAUUGAGAAGAACCUUCGGUCGGAAGAAGACUUCUCGUCUCAGUAACAAUAACAAGAAAAACAGCCUAGACUAGACGCACAUCAGGAAGACAGUUAAUCCCGUCAUGUAUUGACCCGGAAACAUCAUCUCAUUUGCCUAUAAGACAGAGAGAGAGAAUGAUAGAAAUGCUGGAAGAACGAGCCUUGGGGCGGUAUCGCCCAGAUCUGAAUCCACACAGCAGCUGCUUCGGUCCCUGUAACUCAAGGCUUCCUCUUAAUCCUCUGUCCUCCAUCAACACCUGGCUGAGCAGGAACAACUAUGACCUAGGACCAGGGCCUUCAGGAAUCUUCACCCCUAACUUGAACUUCAUAACACUGGAGAGAGAGACUGUGGAAUGGAAUGACUCUCCAGAGCUGCAGAUUGAAGGCAUAUUUUCAUCUGACUUUGAUCUCAAUGGCGGGAACACCUUCAUGGCCCCUUUAUAGCUGGAUGAUCAUUUCCUGUUCUCUCCACCAUGGCCACCUGGUCCAAGCCACCAUCUUCAUGCACCUGGAUACCUGCCAUAACCUCAGCUGACCUUUCCUGUGUCCAUUCUUGUUCCUUUGGGCCCAGUCUCCUCGCUCAUAGCAGCAGAAUGAGUCUAUUAAAAAGUGAAACAAUUUCUGUCA
rnacentral:lncRNA from 1 species